rnacentral:piRNA from 1 species
GAAACAGAACCUGAGAUGGCCACAGCCCC